UACGUAGGCAGCGAGCGUUGUUCAGAGUUACUGGGCGUAAAGAGUGCGUAGGCGGUUUUCUAAGUUUGGUGUGAAAUCUCCCGGCUUAACUGGGAGGGUGCGCCGAAAACUGGAAGGCUUGAGUAUGGGAGAGGUAAGCGGAAUUCCUGGUGUAGCGGUGAAAUGCGUAGAUAUCAGGAGGAACACCUGCGGUGUAGACGGCUUACUGGACCAUAACUGACGCUGAGGCACGAAAGCGUGGGUAGCAAACAGG
rnacentral:rRNA from 1 species